rnacentral:tRNA from 1 species
GAGGGUAUAGCUCAGUGGUAGCGUGUGUGCUUAGUAUGCACAAAGUCCUGGCUUUAAUCCCUGUUACCUCC